GUUGCGCGUGCGCAGGCGGUAGACGCAAUUCUACCUGAGGCCGCGCACUUUUUUUUUCCCCCGUUGCCCUGACUGCGGUGGUGUCACCGGCGCUUGGCCGGCCUCAGCCGCGGUGACUCGAGUGCCUCCGCAGCCUGCCAUGCCCAUUGCUCGGCUCGCUGCUGCGGAGGCGGAGCUCGCGCAGCACUGAGGGAGCCGCCGGUCAUGGCAGAGUUCCCGCCGCUGCCGCUCUCCCUGCGGGAGGAGCCCCCGGCCGCCCGCUCUGGCUCCGAGUCCGAGUCGGAGGCCGAGCUGUCGCAGAGCCUGGCCCGCACCAAGAUCCGCUCGUACGGCAGCACGGCCAGCGUGGCGGCCCCCCUGGCGGAGCGCUACCUGGAGCAUCGCCUCAGCGCCGGCGACACGCUGCAGGGCAUCGCGCUCAAGUAUGGAGUUACGAUGGAACAAAUAAAAAGGGCAAAUAAACUAUUUACUAAUGACUGUAUAUUCCUGAGGAAAACACUGAAUAUCCCAGUUAUAUCAGAGAAGCCGUUAUUGUUCAAUGGACUUAAUUCGCUGGAAUCGCCUGAGAAUGAAAUUAUUGACAUUUCACUUUGUGGUGAAGGACCAGUGACAGUUCAGGAAGAGAGUAGUUCUUCUUCUCCCAGUCCUCAAGAACCUGACAAUCAACCUGCUGCACCUGAAGAACUAUCUGCCAAAGAUUUUCUACAUAGACUGGACUUGCAGAUUAAGUUGUCCAAACAGGCAGCCAGGAAACUAAAAGAUGAAGAUAUCAGGGAGUAGAAGAAUGGAUCUGAGGUCUGAGUAAAGAAGACACCACCAGCAGCAGAGGAUUGGCUCCAAAAUUCAAAAAAACUAUCACCUUUCUCCUGUCAGCAUGCCUGGGCUAGCAUGACAUGCAGGCUAAUGGGACAUGGCAUGUGUUCUCCAGUACCAUCAGCCAAAAGAGAAAUGUAGAGAGACAGCAAUGAACUGAAGAAGCCUUUGAGGAUAUGUUACAUGUUCCAAGAGCUAUUAACUCAAGGGCUUUGAUUAGUGUUCCUUUUACAACUGUUGGAUGCUUGGUACAAGUGGGGUUAAAGUAUCAAAUGAAUGCUCAUUGUCAUGUGUGCUGUAAGCAGUGACUAGUGUUCAUUAUUUGUGGGUGAGAAGCAUUUGUACAGAAAUCUGUGCAGAUGUCCUUCUGAACCUGCAGUUUGUGUUGGGCUGAGGGUGGCAGGUGCAAAUUGGGAUACACAGCACUAUAAAAAUGUUGUAAUGCUUUCUUUCCGUUCUCCUUUCCUGAAGGAGGAAGUGAGAAAGUAACUUAUCAUUUGUCUUCAUUUUAGUGUAUUUAAAAAUCUCUUUAAUAAAACUUUCCAUUUUGUUUUUAAUGAAAAAAUGUGUGGUCACUAAAAUCUGUGGCAAACAUGUAUUAAUAUUGUGAUGUGUGCAAGUGUUCAUUUGGGGCACUUGUCUCUCUGAAAGGCAUAAUAUUGCAGCUUGAAUUACCUUCACCCUUUGGUAGAAGAUGUAUAUCUUAAAUCUGCCCUCGUACAGCCAUAACUUGAACUUCUGAAAAUUGUUUUUUUAAAAUUAAAGAUAAUAACUUCGGUGGUUUUGAAUCAUAUAACUGGAGCAGAGUUUCUCAUUAACCGUAGUACUAGGGAGAGUAUGGUGCUCAGUUUUGAAAGGUCUUCUCAUGCAAAAUUCCCAUUGUCUUCAAGGAGAGCUCCAUUUAUGGGUGGAUAUACAGGGUUAAGCCCUCAAUUAAUCAGCAAGUUUUGAAUCUUCUUUGGGGUGACUAAAACAAGCAUUCUAAGCUUCCUGGGCUGUGCUUAACAUAACAAUGAACAGCUCUGCUUGGAUUCAAGUCUGUAAUGACUGUUACUAAUGCUCUUAACUUGGAAAAUAAAGCUUGUCCUUGGGCUUGGUCAUGAACCAUGCACCAUAUUAGGUGCCAGUACAUAGUAUGCUAUACUGACAGCUACAUUGGAGGUCAGAACACACUAAUAUAUACA